UGUGGGGUCCACAGGAUAUUCCCAUAGUUCUAGGAGAGGACAGACAUUAGCCUGCCUAAAGAAACAUCAAGCAGAGCCCCAGGAAUAAACUGUGGAAUUCCUAACGAUUCAAAAAGAUUUGCAGGAUGCAUCAGACCUGCCUAGACAUUGUAAGGCCCUUCUUGGGAAUGGAGUUAGAAGAGCAUAUUCCAGCGAUAACCUCACAGUCAUGAAAUGGUUCUUCCUCCAGCGUGACCCAACCAUGGUGAUGGUCAUAGGAGUCCUAAGGAUGAAAUCCCAAGACGAUGGAGGAGUGUCACCUCACAACAUGAAGCACCCACUCAGCUGUGAACCAAAUUCGAGGAUCAUGGGACUAUACUGUGGAUCCCACAAAAAAGACAGUUCAAUUUGAGAUAUAGAAACACUGGAACAUUUCACAGCAUGGCCU
ensembl:lncRNA TTTY22 testis expressed transcript, Y-linked 22